UACGGAGGGUGCAAACGUUGCUCGGAAUCAUUGGGCGUAAAGCGCACGUAGGCGGCCGGCUAAGUCGGAUGUGAAAUCCCUGGGCUCAACCCAGGAAGUGCAUUCGAAACUGACGGGCUUGAGUAUGGAAGAGGGUCGCGGAAUUCCCGGUGUAGAGGUGAAAUUCGUAGAUAUCGGGAGGAACACCAGUGGCGAAGGCGGCGACCUGGGCCAAUACUGACGCUGAGGUGCGAAAGCGUGGGGAGCAAACAGG
rnacentral:rRNA from 1 species